rnacentral:rRNA from 1 species
UACGAAGGGGGCUAGCGUUGCUCGGAAUCACUGGGCGUAAAGGGUGCGUAGGCGGGCAGGUAAGUCAGUGGUGAAAUCCUUGAGCUUAACUCGAGAACUGCCAUUGAUACUAUCUGUCUUGAAUAUUGUGGAGGUAAGCGGAAUAUGUCAUGUAGCGGUGAAAUGCUUAGAUAUGACAUAGAACACCUAUUGCGAAGGCAGCUUACUACGCAUAUAUUGACGCUGAGGCACGAAAGCGUGGGGAUCAAACAGG